rnacentral:lncRNA from 1 species
AAACACGAAGGUGAUCUAAAUCCAGUCAACCUAGUUCUGGAAGCAUGGGGGGAAAGAAGACAAGGGAAAACUAAAGUUGUGCAAGAGUGAAAUUAGGUAGAGGUUCAUACAGUGAAUAGGAAUACAAGAACAAUGCUGCUGAAAAGGAGAAGAAAAGCAAAUAUCAAGAAACAGUAUGAUAGGUAGAGAAAAUUUGUACAUUCAAUUGGUAAAAUUUCAGAACUAUAUGAAUGUAUGAACACAUGUUUUGGAUCUU